rnacentral:rRNA from 1 species
UCGCUGUGAAGAUGCAGUGUACCCGCGGCAAGACGGAAAGACCCCGUGAACCUUUACUAUAGCUUGACACUGAACAUUGAGCCUUGAUGUGUAGGAUAGGUGGGAGGCUUAGAAGUGUGGACGCCAGUCUGCAUGGAGCCGACCUUGAAAUACCACCCUUUAAUGUUUGAUGUUCUAACGUUGACCCGUAAUCCGGGUUGCGGACAGUGUCUGGUGGGUAGUUUGACUGGGGCGGUCUCCUCCUAAAGAGUAACGGAGGAGCACGAAGGUUGGCUAAUCCUGGUCGGACAUCA